AUUGAACGCUGGCGGCAUGCUUUACACAUGCCAGUCGAACGGUAACAGGCCUUCGGGUGCUGACGAGUGGCGCACGGGUGAGUAAUGCAUCGGAACGUGCCCAGAGGUGGGGGAUAACGCAGCGAAAGCUGUGCUAAUACCGCAUGUGAUCUGAGGAUGGAAGCGGGGGACCAAGCAGCAAUGUUUGGCCUCGCGCCUCUGGAGCGGCCGAUGUCAGAUUAGGUAGUUGGUGGGGUAAAGGCCUACCAAGCCGACGAUCUGUAGCUGGUCUGAGAGGACGACCAGCCACACUGGGACUGAGACACGGCCCAGACUCCUACGGGAGGCAGCAGUGGGGAAUUUUGGACAAUGGGCGCAAGCCUGAUCCAGCAAUGCCGCGUGCGGGAAGAAGGCCUUCGGGUUGUAAACCGCUUUUGUACGGAACGAAAAGGCUCUGGCUAAUACCUGGGGCUGAUGACGGUACCGUAAGAAUAAGCACCGGCUAACUACGUG
rnacentral:rRNA from 1 species